rnacentral:rRNA from 1 species
UUUUGGACAAUGGGCGAAAGCCUGAUCCAGCCAUGCCGCGUGAGUGAAGAAGGCCUUCGGGUUGUAAAGCUCUUUUAGUCGGAAAGAAAGAGUUGCAAUGAAUAAUUGUGAUUUAUGACGGUACCGACAGAAAAAGCACCGGCUAACUACGUGCCAGCAGCCGCGGUAAUACGUAGGGUGCGAGCGUUAAUCGGAAUUACUGGGCGUAAAGGGUGCGCAGGCGGUCUUGCAAGUCAGAUGUGAAAGCCCCGGGCUUAACCUGGGAAUUGCGUUUGAAACUACAAGGCUAGAGUGCAGCAGAGGGGAGUGGAAUUCCAUGUGUAGCAGUGAAAUGCGUAGAGAUGUGGAAGAACACCGAUGGCGAAGGCAGCUCCCUGGGUUGACACUGACGCUCAUGCACGAAAGCGUGGGGAGCAAACAGG